rnacentral:ncRNA from 1 species
AGGAGCGGAAUGACAAGAAAUUGUCACGUUCCGUUUUGUAGAGCAGUGGAGGGGGCGACUCCUUCGCUGACUUUAAU